UAUUUGUAUUAAAGGAGUGAAGGAUUAGCACUCCCCUUGAUAAGGAUGGAAGAGGUCCCAGUGGCCUGUACAACACACAUAUGGGCAUUGCCACUUACUUCGUGGCAUCUAGCCAGGUUUUUAG